CGACACUCAAUUUCGCCCGGCAGUGCCGCCUGAAAAUAAAAACCAAAUUAAGUGUUCGCCCGAGGGGAAGUUUAAUUUUCUCCUCGGGCCAAACAAGCAUUGUAGUUUCGUUUGCAGGCGAUACUUCAAGGCGAAAUUAGUGGCAAACCGGAGUGAAAAGGAGCAAAAAUUUUUUGCUCCGGAGCAACAGGAAGUAACUUCCAUGUACUGGAACAAACCUAUUGAGUGUUUUCAAAAUAGGGAGGCAAAACUGCUUUCGAAAAAAAAAAACAAAAUUUUGUUUAUUGGAAUUAUUUAAUCAGCUCUCCAAUCACUAUGGUGCAUUGUCAUUUUAAGUAUGUCCCGCCACAGGAACCAAUCAACUCCGGUAGUAAUAAACUCCCAGAUGGGCCCAAUGUAUACUGGAAACUUGCAUUAGUGUUUUCGCAUAUAAACUUUUAAACUCCGAAAAUUUGCCCGAAGGAAAGCUUGGACUAGCCCUUAUGUUUGAAGGCCGAAUAUAGAAUAAUAUAUCGGACAUAAACCGUAUUAGCUAAUUAGUAGAACUUGGUACAAACAUGCAUAUAGCGGUAGUAAAGUCUACCAAUGGAAUUUGCUUCGAGAAUUACUCCUUUGGUAGAGUUACCGGACUCACAUGUGGACCCAACAAAAGCCAGCCUGAUAUCCAGGAUGUCCGUAGUAGGACAACCGAUUUAUCCCCAAGAUAACCCGAUAUCAAGCAUCGAAGUCAGUGAUUCUCCCAUUGUUCGAAUUUGAAACCAUUCCUCGAUCAAGUAUUCCACCACAUUGCAAAACACAUUAAGACUAAACGAGUGUUUGACAGUAUAUAAUCUAAUAAACCGUUCGAGUUCGAAAGAAUUGAUACGGAGCAAGACAUGCUAAUUUUGGUUACUAAUUAUUGUUCGUUGAAGGGAAAAAUUAGAAGCUUGGAAGUCGAGGCAGCUUCCUAAACGAUAGUAUAACGGCAAAACCAUCUGCCGGAACCGGAAAGCGUCAGGAAUUCAAAACAAGUUGAAAUUUUACAACGUGAUCAUCAGACUAAUAAAGAGAAAAAUCAAUAAAAUGU